rfam:Triticum aestivum genome assembly, contig: Triticum_aestivum_CS42_TGACv1_scaffold_577183_7BL
CUAAUACUCCCUCCAUCCGGAAAUACUUGUCAUUAAAAUGGAUAAAAGAGGAUGUAUCUAGACGUAUUUUAGUUCGAGAUAUAUCACUUUUUAUCCAUUUUAAUGACAAGUAUUUUGGGACGGAGGGAGUACUCA